AACUAUAACGGUCCUAAGGUAGCGAAAUUCCUUGUCGGGUAAGUUCCGACCUGCACGAAUGGCGUAAUGAUGGCCAGGCUGUCUCCACCCGAGACUCAGUGAAAUUGAACUCGCUGUGAAGAUGCAGUGUACCCGCGGCAAGACGGAAAGACCCCGUGAACCUUUACUAUAGCUUGACACUGAACAUUGAGCCUUGAUGUGUAGGAUAGGUGGGAGGCUUUGAAGUGUGGACGCCAGUCUGCAUGGAGCCGACCUUGAAAUACCACCCUUUAAUGUUUGAUGUUCUAACGUGGACCCGUAAUCCGGGUUGCGGACAGUGUCUGGUGGGUAGUUUGACUGGGGCGGUCUCCUCCUAAAGAGUAACGGAGGAGCACGAAGGUUGGCUAAUCCUGGUCGGACAUCAGGAGGUUAGUGCAAUGGCAUAAGCCAGCUUGACUGCGAGCGUGACGGCGCGAGCAGGUGCGAAAGCAGGUCAUAGUGAUCCGGUGGUUCUGAAUGGAAGGGCCAUCGCUCAACGGAUAAAAGGUACUCCGGGGAUAACAGGCUGAUACCGCCCAAGAGUUCAUAUCGACGGCGGUGUUUGGCACCUCGAUGUCGGCUCAUCACAUCCUGGGGCUGAAGUAGGUCCCAAGGGUAUGGCUGUUCGCCAUUUAAAGUGGUACGCGAGCUGGGUUUAGAACGUCGUGAGACAGUUCGGUCCCUAUCUGCCGUGGGCGCUGGAGAACUGAGGGGGGCUGCUCCUAGUACGAGAGGACCGGAGUGGACGCAUCACUGGUGUUCGGGUUGUCAUGCCAAUGGCACUGCCCGGUAGCUAAAUGCGGAAGAGAUAAGUGCUGAAAGCAUCUAAGCACGAAACUUGCCCCGAGAUGAGUUCUCCCUGAGACUUAGAGUCUCCUGAAGGAACGUUGAAGACGACGACGUUGAUAGGCCGGGUGUGUAAGCGCAGCGAUGCGUUGAGCUAACCGGUACUAAUGAACCGUGAGG
rnacentral:rRNA from 1 species